GGCUGUUUGAACUCUGUGAUCCUCCUGCCUCAGCUUCCCAGAGUGCUGGGAUGACAGGUGUGGGUCACCAUGCCUGACCGAGUUCUACCCUUUGGAUAUGUGAAUUGUAUGACAUGUAAAUUCUGUCGCCAUCAAGCCAUUAUGUAAAAACCAGUGCAGGGAGCGCGCCCCCCCUGUGCCCUCCGCCCAGCCUGCUGUGACCUUCCUUUCUUCCCCUUCCAGUCCUUCAUCGCCCUGCCCAGGGUGCAGAGGGCACCUUCAGAGGCUGAGGCAGAAGGAUCAAAAGUUGGAGCCCAGCCUGGGGAACUCAGCUACUUAGCGGCAGGCGCUGUUUCCAAAUAAACAAUAAAAAGGGCUGGGGACGCAGCUCAGUGCAAAGGCCCUGGGUCCAAUCUCUGGUGCUGCAAAACACACAGAGACACAGAAGCCCUCGAUCUCUACCGUGAGAGGCUAAAGCUUGUGUGCUCAUGUCUUAGACCUCUUCCUGUCUCCUAAUGGCUUCCCAGGAGGCUUUGCGUCUGGCUCUGAGCUCACCGUGUGGAGUCCCUGGAGGCUGUCACAGGCUCUCAGAGGCUGAGCAAGUCAGGGCAGGAGCCCGCCCUCCCUGCAGCCCCGGGGCCUCUGGGACACUGAGCCCCAGCACCACUCAGGUCCCCAGGGAGGGAGCCAGGGCCUGGCACCACCCCUGACAGGAGGGACCUUUGGAGUCAUUCUGGUCCUGCCUGCUUUCUGACCAGAUCCCAAGCUCUCCAGCCCUCUGGACUCUGCAGCAGACUGAAAAGAAUCUCCUGUUCUUUCUUGCCAACUGCUAAGCCCUUUAAAGUGACAAGUGACAGCAGCAUCCCUGGGGACCGGAGACUGAGCUCCGACCUGCUCUCUGUGCUGAGUUCCCCAGGAGCUUUGCCUGCUUCGGCCUCGGAAGCCAGGGACGGAGGAGCCUGGGGUCUCCCUGUUUUCUUCCCACGGUUGGACAUUGGGGUCCCAGGACCUUCCUCUCCUGACUCACCCCAUCCCUGGGCUGCAGCAGGGUGGACUUGGUGCAAAGGCCCUGGCUUCAACCCACAGGAGUGCAAAAGGUAAGUUAAUUAAUUAAUUAAUUAAUUAAAAAUAAAUAAACAGGGCUGAAGUUGCAGCUCAGGGCAAAGGUCCUGAGUUCAGUCCUCAGUACCACAAAAAAAGUCACUGAUGGUCACUUCCUGACCCCACUCACCCAGUUCUCCCAUGCUCUGUGGGUCUCUGUUGUUUUGUUUUGAGACAGGAUCUCGCUGUGGAGUUCAGGCUGACCUUGAACUCACUAUGUAGCCCAGGCUGGCCUGAACCUUGCAGCAAUUCUCCUGCCUCAGCCUCCGGAAAGUGGGUCUCUGUUUUCUCAGCAGUCCUGGGUUCAAAGCCCUGAGGUGGGUUGAGGGAAGGCUCCAGCCACUCCUGCCCCUGUCCCUCAGGGAGGAGACCCAUGCAUGUUCCAGUCCAUACACCAAGGCCAGUGUUAGCUGAACUCUGGGGUGCGGUUUG
rnacentral:lncRNA from 1 species